rnacentral:rRNA from 1 species
GACGAACGCUGGCGGCGUGCUUAACACAUGCAAGUCGAACGGAAAGGCCCUGCUUUUGUGGGGUGCUCGAGUGGCGAACGGGUGAGUAACACGUGAGUAACCUGCCCUUGACUUUGGGAUAACUUCAGGAAACUGGGGCUAAUACCGGAUAGGAGCUCCUGCUGCAUGGUGGGGGUUGGAAAUUUUCGGCGGUUGGGGAUGGACUCGCGGCUUAUCAGCUUGUUGGUGGGGUAGUGGCUUACCAAGGCUUUGGCGGGUAGCCGGCAUGAGAGGGUGACCGGCCACAUUGGUACUGAGAUACGGCGCAGACGCCUACGGGAGGCAGUAGGGGGGAAUAUUGCACAAUGGGCGGAAGCCUGAUGAGGCAACGCCGCGGUCGGGAUGACGGCCUUUGGGUUGUAAACCGCUUCCGCCUGUGACGAAGCGUGAGUGACGGUAAUGGGUAAAGAAGCACCGGCUAACUACGUG